CUCAGGAUGAACGCUAGCUACAGGCUUAACACAUGCAAGUCAGGGGCAGCGAGAGGAAAGCUUGCUUCCUGUCGGCGACCGGCGCACGGGUGAGUAACGCGUAUCCAACUUCCCCAUAGUAGAGGAUAGCCCGGCGAAAGUCGGGAUUAAUACUCUAUGUUGUGUCAUGAGGGACAGUCUGAAUAACACUAAAGAUUUAUCGCUAUGGGAUGGGGAUGCGUCUGAUUAGCUUGUCGGCGGGGUAACGGCCCACCGAGGCGACGAUCAGUAGGGGUUCUGAGAGGAAGGUCCCCACAUUGGUACUGAGACACGGACCAAACUCCUACGGGAGGCAGCAGUGAGGAAUAUUGGUCAAUGGGCGCGAGCCUGAACCAGCCAAGUAGCGUGCAGGAUGACUGCCCUAUGGGUUGUAAACUGCUUUUAUGCGGGAAUAAAGUCAGGUACGUGUACCUGUUUGUAUGUACCGCAUGAAUAAGGACCGGCUAAUUCCGUGCCAGCAGCUGC
rnacentral:rRNA from 1 species